rnacentral:rRNA from 1 species
UACGUUCCCGGACCUUGUACACACCCGCCCCGUCCAAAGCCAUGGAAGUUGGGGAGACCUGAAGAUGGUGCUCGUAACAGAAGCCGUUUAGGGUAAAAUCAGUAACUAGGGCU